rfam:Murray Valley encephalitis virus strain MK6684, complete genome
AGACGUUCAUCUGCGUGAGCUUCCGAUCUCAGUAUUGUUUGGAAGGAUCAUUUGAUUAACGCGGUUUGAACAGUUUUUUGGAGCUUUUGAUUUCAAAUGUCUAAAAAACCAGGAGGACCCGGGAAGCCCCGGGUCGUCAAUAUGCUAAAAC